GACGAACGCUGGCGGCGUGCCUAAUACAUGCAAGUCGAACGCAGUGGGGACGGGUGAGUAACACGUGGGUAACCUCCCAUCAGAGGGGAUAACACUUGGAAACAGGUGCUAAAACGAUACUGAUGUAUGGACCCGCGGUGCAUUAGAUAGUUGGUGAGGUAACGGUUCACAAAGGCCACGAUUCAUAGCCGGCCUUAGAGGUGGAUCGGCCACACUUGGACUGAGACACGGCCCAGACUCCGACGGGAGGCAGCAGUAGGGAAUCUUCGGCAAUGGACGAAAGUCUGACCGAGCAACGCCGCUUGAGUGAAGAAGGUUUUCGGAUCGUAAAACUCUGUUGUUAGAGAAGCGGUAUCUAAAGAGAAAGCCACGGCUAACUACGUGCCAGCAGCCGCGGUAAUUG
rnacentral:rRNA from 1 species